AUACUUACCUGGAAGGGAAGAUACCAUGAUCAUGAAGGUGGUUUUCCCAGGGCAAGGCUUAUUCAUUGCACUCCAGAUGUUCUGACCUCUGUGAUUUCCUCAAAUGUGAAAUCUCAACUGCACAAUUUGUGAUAGUGAGGACUGUGUAAACCCAUUA